rnacentral:rRNA from 1 species
GAUUUCUGGCUUGAAACAUUAAGCCGGCCACGGUUUCGUGUGUUAGUGCUUGAUGUUCUGGCCAUCCUUCCAAUUGCUAUUCACCCUUCUUCAUUGAUUGGUGAGUGGUAUUGGAUCUUUUACUUUGAAAAAAUUAGAGUGUUUCAAGCAGGCUUUAUGCUAUGAAUACAUUAGCAUGGAAUAAUAAUUUAGGACUUCGGUUCUAUUUUGUUGGUUUCUAGGACUGAAGUAAUGAUUGAUAGGGAUAGUUGGGGGUGCUAGUAUUCAGCGGCCAGAGGUGAAAUUCUCGGAUUCGCUGAAGACUAACUUAUGCGAAAGCAUU